rnacentral:sRNA from 1 species
UCAGCUGGUCCCUCUUCUCAGGUGUAGAUCACCUAUUAUAAUUUUACCUAAUUUUGAUACUCUGAUAAGGAAAGUCCCAGGACUUAUCAGCUGGGAUAGGCCUCACUUACAAGACAGCUCUGUUCAGUAUUUGGAAGAAAGCCUGACAGGUUUCUUCGGAAAAGUGGCCAUCCAUGGAAUGAAUGAAAUGUUCUCUUUCUAUUCCAGGGAUUGCAGUGGCAAAGCUAGGCUAGGUCUUGGAGGCUGGUGUAAGGCGAUGCGGGUGAAGGCAGGAGGCUGAUGGAAAGACUGGGGGGAAGAAAAGCCGAAAUGGAUUCACGGUGCCUUGGAUGAAGGACGAGAGGGGAACUGCAAGCUCCUUCAACUGGUUCUGUCCGGUGAGAAGUGAUCAAGCUUGGGCUGACAAGAGGCUCAGGGAGCCCUCACGUUCUUUCGCUUUUUUACCUGCCAAUCAAACUGCUACAAGACAACACCCUGAUCUGGCAUGGACAUGUCCGUGUUUACCUUAAUAUUACACCUCGAUUAAACAGAAAACAGUGCUGUAUUUUGAAGAGCGCCAAAUAUGUAUGCAUUUUGAGAAACCCAGUCUCACCCUUUCCGGGUUCCCAAGAGCUAAAACAAGCCAUAACUUGAGAGAAAAAGAACCUUCGGGGGGCAGGAAGGUUGAUUGGAAAUAACUUAAGGAAAGUCUGCAGAAUUCUUUUUCUUACAACUUUUCUGAGUUUCCAGUGGGUAUACUUACUGUGAGUUUGACAGUAACAGGCUAGGGAGGGCAGAGAUUGGAGAAAUUGGGGGUCGGGGGAGUGAUUAUGGGAAGAAGGUUAGUAAGGAACAAAACAAUGCACCGUUUUGUAAAGAUAAUAAAUGGAACGUGGCUGGUAGAUACUAUUCAGUACAUUUUCUUAGGGUGAGUAAGGGUAGACCAGGGGAGGAGGGGGCGGAGAGAGUGUUACAGAAGAAAGAAAAUAAGUAACCC